AGUGAACGCUGGCGGUAGGCCUAACACAUGCAAGUCGAACGGCAGCACAGUAAGAGCUUGCUCUUACGGGUGGCGAGUGGCGGACGGGUGAGGAAUACAUCGGAAUCUACUUUUUCGUGGGGGAUAACGUAGGGAAACUUACGCUAAUACCGCAUACGACCUACGGGUGAAAGCAGGGGAUCUUCGGACCUUGCGCGAUUGAAUGAGCCGAUGUCGGAUUAGCUAGUUGGCGGGGUAAAGGCCCACCAAGGCGACGAUCCGUAGCUGGUCUGAGAGGAUGAUCAGCCACACUGGAACUGAGACACGGUCCAGACUCCUACGGGGGGCAGCAGUGGGGAAUAUUGGACAAUGGGGGCAAGCCUGAUCCAGCCAUACCGCGUGGGUGAAGAAGGCCUUCGGGUUGUAAAGCCCUUUUGUUGGGAAAGAAAAGCAGCAGGUUAAUACCCCGCUGUUCUGACGGUACCCAAAGAAUAAGCACCGGCUAACUUCGUG
rnacentral:rRNA from 1 species